rnacentral:rRNA from 1 species
UACGUAGGGGGCUAGCGUUGUCCGGAUUUAUUGGGCGUAAAGCGCGUGUAGGCGGCCAGAUAGGUCUGCUGUGAAAGCUCGAGGCUCAACCUCGAGCUGUCGGCGGAAACCAUUUGGCUAGAGUCCGGAAGAGGAGAGUGGAAUUCCCGGUGUAGCGGUGAAAUGCGCAGAUAUCGGGAAGAACACCAGUGGCGAAGGCGGCUCUCUGGGACGGUACUGACGCUGAGACGCGAAAGCGUGGGGAGCGAACAGG